rnacentral:rRNA from 1 species
UACAGAGGGUGCGAGCGUUAAUCGGAAUUACUGGGCGUAAAGCGUGCGUAGACGGUUGCGUAAGUCGGAUGUGAAAUCCCCGGGCUUAACCUGGGAACUGCAUUUGUGACUGCAUCGCUGGAGUGCGGCAGAGGGGGAUGGAAUUCCGCGUGUAGCAGUGAAAUGCGUAGAUAUGCGGAGGAACACCGAUGGCGAAGGCGGGUCUCUGGGCAGUAACUGACGCUGAGGAGCGAAAGCGUGGGGAGCGAACAGG